UGUCUAAAUAAUUAUCGAGAGCUGUGA
rnacentral:piRNA from 1 species